rnacentral:rRNA from 1 species
CCUACGGGAGGCAGCAGUGGGGAAUUUUCCGCAAUGGGCGAAAGCCUGACGGAGCAAUACCGCGUGAGGGAGGAAGGCUCUUGGGUUGUAAACCUCUUUUCUUAGGGAAGAACAAAAUGACGGUACCUAAGGAAUAAGCAUCGGCUAACUCCGUGCCAGCAGCCGCGGUAAUACGGAGGAUGCAAGCGUUAUCCGGAAUGAUUGGGCGUAAAGCGUCCGCAGGUGGUUUUGUAAGUCUAUUGUUAAAGCGUCUGGCUCAACCAGAUAUAGGCGGUAGAAACUACAAGACUAGAGUACGUUCGGGGCAGAGGGAAUUCCUGGUGUAGCGGUGAAAUGCGUAGAGAUCAGGAAGAACACCGGUGGCGAAAGCGCUCUGCUAGGCCGUAACUGACACUGAGGGACGAAAGCUAGGGGAGCGAAUGGGAUUAGAUACCCCAGUAGUCCUAGCCGUAAACGAUGGAUACUAGGCGUGGCUUGUAUCGACCCGAGCCGUGCCGUAGCUAACGCGUUAAGUAUCCCGCCUGGGGAGUACGCACGCAAGUGUGAAACUCAAAGGAAUUGACGGCNGAGACGCGCCGACGACGACGACGAGGGAGAGG